rnacentral:rRNA from 1 species
UAGGGAAUUUUUCACAAUGAGCGAAAGCUUGAUGGAGCAAUGCCGCGUGAACGAUGAAGGUCUUUAAGAUUGUAAAGUUCUUUUAUUUGGGAAGAAUGACUUUAGCAGGUAAUGGCUAGAGUUGACUGUACCAUUUUGAAUAAGUGACGACUAACUAUGUGCCAGCAGUCGCGGUAAUACAUAGGUCGCAAGCGUUAUCCGGAUUUAUUGGGCGUAAAGCAAGCGCAGGCGGAUUGAAAAGUCUGGUGUUAAAGGCAGCUGCUUAACAGUUGUAAUGCAUUGGAAACUAUUAAUCUAGAGUGUGGUAGGGAGUUUUGGAAUUUCAUGUGGAGCGGUGAAAUGCGUAGAUAUAUGAAGGAACACCAGUGGCGAAGGCGAAAACUUAGGCCAUUACUGACGCUUAGGCUUGAAAGUGUGGGGAGCAAAUAGGAUUAGAUACCCUAGUAGUCCACACCGUAAGCGAUAGAUACUAGCUGUCGGGGCGAUCCCCUCGGUAGUGAAGUUAACACAUUAAGUAUCUCGCCUGGGUAGUACAUUCGCAAGAAUG